AGUGAACGCUGGCGGUAGGCCUAACACAUGCAAGUCGAACGGCAGCACAGUAAGAGCUUGCUCUUACGGGUGGCGAGUGGCGGACGGGUGAGGAAUACAUCGGAAUCUACUUUUUCGUGGGGGAUAACGUAGGGAAACUUACGCUAAUACCGCAUACGACCUACGGGUGAAAGCAGGGGAUCUUCGGACCUUGCGCGAUUGAAUGAGCCGAUGUCGGAUUAGCUAGUUGGCGGGGUAAAGGCCCACCAAGGCGACGAUCCGUAGCUGGUCUGAGAGGAUGAUCAGGCCAACGGGAAAUGAGGAACGGGCCAGACCCCUACGGGGGGGAGGAGGGGGGAAUAUUGGACAAUGGGGGGAAGCCUGAUCCCGCCCUUCCGGGGGGGUUAAGAAGGGCUUUGGGUUUUAAAACCCUUUUUGUUGGGAAAAAAAGGAGUAAGGUUAAUCCCCCCUUUUUUGACGGGUCCCAAAAAAUAAACCCCCGCUAAAUUUGUG
rnacentral:rRNA from 1 species